GAUGAACGCUGGCGGCGUGCCUAAUACAUGCAAGUCGAGCGAACAGAUAAGGAGCUUGCUCCUUUGACGUUAGCGGCGGACGGGUGAGUAACACGUGGGUAACCUACCUAUAAGACUGGAAUAACUCCGGGGAACCUGGGCUAAUGCCGGAUAACAUUUAGAACCGCAUGGUUCUAAAGUGAAAGAUGGUUUUGCUAUCACUUAUAGAUGGACCCGCGCCGUAUUAGCUAGUUGGUAAGGUAAUGGCUUAACAAGGCAACGAUACGUAGCCGACCUGAGAGGGUGAUCGGCCACACUGGAACUGAGACACGGUCCAGACUCCUACGGGAGGCAGCAGUAGGGAAUCUUCCGCAAUGGGCGAAAGCCUGACGGAGCAACGCCGCGUGAGUGAUGAAGGGUUUCGGCUCGUAAAACUCUGUUAUUAGGGAAGAACAAACGUGUAAGUAACUGUGCACGUCUUGACGGUACCUAAUCAGAAAGCCACGGCUAACUACGUGCCAGCCGCCGCCGUAA
rnacentral:rRNA from 1 species